AUUGAACGCUGGCGGCAUGCUUUACACAUGCAAGUCGAGCGGCAGCGCGGGGGCAACCCUGGCGGCGAGCGGCGAACGGGUGAGUAAUGCAUCGGAACGUAUCCUGGAGUGGGGGAUAACCCAGCGAAAGUUGGGCUAAUACCGCAUGAGCUCUGAGGAGGAAAGCGGGGGACUCGCAAGAGCCUCGCGCUGCAGGAGCGGCCGAUGUCCGAUUAGCUUGUUGGUGAGGUAAAGGCUUACCAAGGCGAUGAUCGGUAGCUGGUCUGAGAGGAUGAUCAGCCACACUGGGACUGAGACACGGCCCAGACUCCUACGGGAGGCAGCAGUGGGGAAUUUUGGACAAUGGGGGCAACCCUGAUCCAGCCAUUCCGCGUGAGUGAAGAAGGCCUUCGGGUUGUAAAGCUCUUUUGUCCGGAGCGAAACGGUUACGGUGAAUAUCCGUGACUACUGACGGUACCGGAAGAAUAAGCACCGGCUAACUACGUGCCAGCAGCCGCGGUAAUACGUAGGGUGCGAGCGUUAAUCGGAAUUACUGGGCGUAAAGCGUGCGCAGGCGGUUUUGUAAGCCAGAUGUGAAAUCCCCGGGCUUAACCUGGGAAUGGCAUU
rnacentral:rRNA from 1 species